UACAGAGGGUGCAAGCGUUGUUCGGAAUUAUUGGGCGUAAAGGGCGCGUAGGCGGUGCCACAAGUCACCUGUGAAAUCUCCGGGCUUAACUCGGAGCCUGCAGGCGAAACUGCCGUGCUGGAGUGUGGGAGAGGUGCGUGGAAUUCCUGGUGUAGCGGUGAAAUGCGUAGAUAUCAGGAGGAACACCUGUGGCGAAAGCGGCGCACUGGACCACAACUGACGCUGAGGCGCGAAAGCUAGGGGAGCAAACAGG
rnacentral:rRNA from 1 species